UUGUGUGGAGAUUAAGAGAGAGAGACUAAUAAGAAAGAACUUGUUAUGGGGCAGGUCAGGCGUCAUUCAUGGAGUCAUUUGUAGGGUCAAGUCCCCAGCCAAUCUAUUUGAACCGCUCAUUAUUUGUGGCCAUGUAUUAACUACUAAGUGAGUCUUUGACAUGAAGACAGUGGUUAGAUUCUGCCAUGGGGACCUGCUCUGAUGUUGUUUCCAUUCUCUCCUGGUUAUGACCAUAGAGCCUUGUCCCAGUCUCUAGACCUGCCUGUCUGUGUGAUGGAUGACCACCUGACCUCUGAAGCUGUCAAUGAGAUGGAGCAGAGCAAUUCUACCAGGAGCAGAGCAACCUCAGUGAUGGAAACCACAGAAGAGGGGAAGCUCAACAAUGUGGAACAUCUGACACUUAUGGACUUCCUUCAAAACCUAACUGAGAAGCAAUGGAGGGGGAUUCGUGAGGGCAUGUUUGACCCGCUGACAAAACAACAGCUUGCCGGCUUGUGUCUGAGGAUUGUCCAGUUUUUAUCGGACAAGCUGAUGCAGAUCAUCAUCCCAGGUCUUUACGAACUACUGGGCAUCCAAGAUGCUGCCUCCUCUCCAUUGUCACAGAGAUCUCUCACAGCGUCACUCACCAGUCUGUUAGACGAUAAGACUAACACCAAGUCCCGCGUGAGAUUUACUGAGGCUGGUGUACCUAAGAGGCCAGGCAGUCGAAAGUCGUACAAUAGCUUUCGCAUCCCGACUCCCUACCCUUCCUCCAACUGUAUGGAUCAGGAAGAGGAAGAAGAGCAGGAAUCACAACUUAAGUCCAAGGAGAUUUACCUGACUAAGGGCAGUGGAAGCUACCUGCCCAAGGGGGCCAUGAGGAUUCUAACCUCUCUGUCUGAUGUGCAGAAAAAAACAACCAACUCUGAGACGCUACAAGUCCUCUUAGGUGUCUCAGAGGACACCCUCGUCACCUGUGUGCAGGACAGCCUGCAAGGUUCUCUCUCCAAACUUGCAUGCAUGUCCAAUUCUCCAUCUGGAAGUGCAGGCUCUAUGAUGCUAACCCCUGCUGUAAUGGCAGAGUUGGCUAAAGAUGUCAAGUCGGCCUUAUCAGUGGUCGUUAAGAGUGCCUCCGCAAGCCAAACCUCUCUAGUGACACCGGUAAGGGGAGACUCACAGACCAAGGUAACUGAGAGCAUGGUGAGAGAGCUGGCUGCUAAACUUGAAAAAGUUGACCAAGAGAGCAAGAGUCUAACAGGGCAAGUCAUGACCACGAUCUCUGACACAAUGGUGGCUUUUGUUGACGAGAACGAACAGAAUUUGCUGGAAGAUCUGAAGGACAAGAUCACGUUUUUGGCAUCGCAUGUUGGCUUCAUUGACGAUCUUGAUGCCCUGAUAAGGAAAUACGAGAGCAGCUACAAUAUUGGUGAAUCUGGUUCCUCCUGCACGCUCACGUCUAAGAGCAUCCAAAAACUCUCCAGCAGGGAGUUUCAAACAUCAGCAAUACAAGCAGUGAGUGGAGUUCUUGCCAAAAAAGUCAGUAGUUUGAGCUUUCCUAGUUCAGUCGUUCAGUCUGAGUUAACAGGUGCUGUAUCAGGUCAAACAUUGUCUGGCAUUGUAAAGACAGAGUCAAUUCACCCAGUGGGCUCAGCAGCGUCAGUAGUUGUUAAGACUUUCGUGUCAGAUAUGAAGUCCUUGGCUGAAUCUGAAGAGAGUCCCCAACAGAAGAGUGCCUGGUCUGCUGCUGUUCACAUUUACCACAGCAUCCAAAACAACUUGAAAGAUUAUUUCGGCAAGCUUCAGCGAUGUGCCUUAAAGAGCAUUGUCACAUAUGAUGAUAACAUCACAAAUGCUGAGUUUAAGGAGACAGUUCCACUUCCUUGCUUAAACAUGAAAUAUAGGCCCAGUAAGAGUGAGCCUCAGUUGCCAGAGUCCACUGGUGCAGUUACUUUACAAAGAGGCCUAAGUGAGAGAUCAAAACUUCUUUGGGCACACACUGAGUCAGAAGAAAGCAAGCUCCUUCUGACAACUUGCACCAAAGAAGUAAUCUCAGAGCCUCUGGUCUUGUACAACACUGAGAUGUCAAAGGAGGACCCCCUGUACACUGUUGGAGAAAAAGGAUCAGGCUUCUCUAUUGAGAGAGAGAAAUUUGUAGAGGGUGUUCUGGCUCAGCUUGGGGAUAUCUCCCAUUCCAGGUCCUCAUCACCAAUAGUUUGUGAGUUCUCCUGUCAAAAUGAGGACAGCAGAAGUAAGGCCACAGCUUCUUUGACCAGUCUGUUAGAUUGUAUUAGAAAACUCUCAAGUGAGGAAUUCAAGAGAGACACCAAUCAAGCAGUGAGUGAGUUCCUAGUUAAAAAGUCCACCAGUAGCUUAACUAGUGCACAGCCUGCUUAUUCUGUAGCAUCCAGGUCUUGUUCCGUUCAAAACCAGAGAACCUUGUCAAAGCAUAUUUGUGCGGAUUCUGCUGCCUUUGGCAUCAUUGACACAUUUGUGGAAGACCUGCAGAGCUUGGCGCAACCUGCAGAAGUAGAGGAGAGAGAACCUGACCUCCAGGAAAAUGUACAAAAGCGAAAGAGCAGGAUCUGGUCUGCUACCACUAGUUUAUAUAAAAAUAUUAGGAAGAUAUUAAAGGGCUUCACCAUUCACCGGCGGAGGUCAGACGUGCAGAGAAGAAUGUCUAGCCAUACACCCACAGAGGACUCUGGACAUCUUGUGACUAAGGAGUACCUUGGUUUGGCAAGCCAGAACUUGACGCAAGCUAGUAAGAGUGUGCCUCACUUGCCCAGUUUGAACCAGGAAGUGACUCUACACAUGGGUGUCAGCGAGAGUUCAAAACUUCUCUGGAUUGAAACAGACGAGGGUCUAAUGAACAAUAGUACCAAACAGGUCAUUUCAACAAUCUUGACCUCAUGCGAGGAUCAGACAUCAAAUGCACCUUGCUUCUCCACAGUAGGAAAGAAAAUAUCUGAUAUGUCCCUUGAGGUCAACAUGUUGGUAGGUGGUGUUCUGUCUCAGCUGAAGGACAUCUCCUUGUCAAGGUCCCCAACACCAUGUGAAGACAUGUUUGAACGUCUCCAAGGUUCUACUGAGCGAACCUCUCCAGUAAGUCUAGAUUGCUGCACGGCUGCCUCCAAAGGCAUUGCAUCUUCCCACAGUCUUUCAACAAAGAGCCUCCAAAAACUCUCUAGUCAUGAGUUCCAAACCAAAGCUGAGAAAGGAGUGAGUGAGGUCCUCUCUAGAUCAUUUAACAUUGUGGAGGAAGGUACAACAGAUAAGUACCUUCAGUCUGUAUCUACAUCCACCACAUCUACUGAUAUUAUACAAACCAUGGUGAAAGACCAGCAGGAGCUCACCCAGACCACCCAAUCAUCUGACAUGGUAUCUGGAACCUCCCUGCUCACCACUGGAGAGGUUUCUGAGAAAAGGAUCUGGUCUGUUGCUCGUAACAUCUACUACAGUCUGAGUUUCUCAGAAAAGAUCUUCAAAGAUCAGACACAACACUUGGUUCAAUCCAAAUCUUUACACAUCAAAGUAGUCCUGCAUCACAAAGAGCAAGUCUCGGCCAUCUUGAGGUCAACCAGAGCAGUGUUACACCUGGUGGAAACAAUGCCUGUGUGGACAUUCCGCACAAAUUACUACCUAAAACCACUGAGCUCUCAGGAUCCAUGCUGGAGGAUAUUGACACGAUCCGUUGUAGGAGUGCUGACAGCCAAAAUACAAGAAAUACCUCUUCUUCACGCUCCUCCAUCUCUCUAACACCUACUUCAAAAUUAAGGCAGUCGAAAUGGCACUUUGCCUUACCCGGGACUCCCAUCCCCACUGAGUUUCCUGCUCAGAUUGACUUUCCCAUUGUUAGAAACACAAUCAUUGAGGACUUCUUUCACACAGAGGACUUACUUCCUGUAACCUUUGUGGACAAAGUCAGGCAAGCUGCUGGGCUGGUAGUGGACAUUAUGGUGGAAAGUGUUGAGAACACACAGGAAAAUGGACAGGGUGCUUCACAUCUUGACGACCUCCGAUCUGCUGUUAGGAAAUUGAGAAAAAUCAUAUCCACUUGGACCAUCCACAUUUUCAGCCAUGAAUUGGUGGAUAAAGUGAUAGCCCUUCAGGACAGCCACAGCACUCCAAAGGUCUUAACAUUAGAAGCAGCCAAAAGUGCUUCAGACUCCAUUCUUUCAAGGCUGAAAUGGGGAAAGGAACAAUGUGCCAUAUCCAAGGAGCUCUCCUCUCAUCUUCUCCAGAUAUUUGCUGAAGAGACAGUGAAGGGCUUCCUGAGACAGUGGUCAGAUGAUUAUGAAAACAUAAACUUUGAUGUUUCAGUCCAGAAUGAUCCAAAGACUUCUACUUGCAUGGUCAUUCUUCAAAUGAUCACCAAAGCCACUGCUAAAUGUUAUUUUGAGUCCACUACCAGCGUGGCCACCAGUGACAUUGUAGAAGGCGUGUUUGAUUUGGAAAGGGAUACCAUCAGCAGUACUGGAGAGCAGGUCCUCACCUUUAACACAAAGGGUUCCAAGAAAGUUAGUAAGAACCUCUGUCCUCAAGAGUCUCUGGAGUACCAGCCUCAGAACAUUUCCCCUACUGUGUACUUUACAGAGACGAUGACAACAUCUCAUGGCUCCUUUUCUCCAGAGGGAAUUUAUGAUAUCGCAUCGUCCUUCCCACUUGAAGAGAAGAGUCGCAAACCCUCCCUUUUCACCAGAUUGUCUAGAUCCAUCAAGAAAGGCUUUCUCAGCCCAUUCAAAUCUUCAAGGAAAAACAAAUUAUUUAAUUAAAUUCCUCAUUAUAACAACGAGAGCAUUCAUUUGUUCAGAUGAGAAUCUAAUCGUAUUGGUCACACACGCAGAAAACAACUGUGAGAGGCUUUAUUACGAGCACAUUCCCAACAAUGCAGAGUUAAAAAAGUAAGAAAAUAUUUUCUAAAUAGUAACACAAUAACAA